UACGGAGGGUGCAAGCGUUGUCCGGAAUCAUUGGGUGUAAAGGGUGCGUAGGCGGGCCACUAAGUCUGAGGUGAAAUCCUGCCGCUUAACGGUAGAAUGGCCCUGGAUACUGGUGGUCUUGAGUACAGAAGAGGUCGGUGGAAUUCGUAGUGUAGCGGUGAAAUGCAUAGAUAUUACGAAGAACACCAGUGGCGAAGGCGGCCGACUGGUCUGUAACUGACGCUGAGGCACGAAAGCGUGGGGAGCGAACAGG
rnacentral:rRNA from 1 species